rnacentral:lncRNA from 1 species
AUGGAUAUUGAAUGCCAUUCAUCUAUUUUUCUCAUCAAAUGCCUACAGAGGGCGUGUGAGAUAGAAAAAGUUCUUUUAAGUCUAAUUUUUCUUUCAUUAAAGAGUCUCCCCAUCCAAAAAAAAAGAAGAGAUUUUUUAUUUAAACCUCACACUUCUCUUAGUUCACCCUAUGUUCUAAGUUCACUCCAACUUUUAAUUUAA